rnacentral:tRNA from 1 species
GGUUGUAGCUCAGGUGCAGAGUGCUUCCCUGGCAUGCAUGAGGCCCUGGGUUCAAUUCUCAGAACCA